ensembl:lncRNA PM20D1-AS1 PM20D1 antisense RNA 1
GGGAACCGGGAGCCGGCUCCAUGCGCCUGGAGCGCGCGGGUCCCAGCGCCCAUCGGCCCGGGGUCCGAGGGGCCCGCUGCCCGGGCUCGCUGCGUGGUGCUACCGCCCCCGGGCCCGCUGCGCCGCGUCGGAGCCCCAGCAGACUUUGAGAGGCGUGUGCGACAGUGCGCGUCCUCUCCUGCCUCUGGAUGUUUCCUUGGAGCCUCUGGCCUUCGGGAAGACCGAGAUAUUUUCCUCUAAGUGAACGGUACAGCUGUUGAAGGCAAGGACAAUGGAUACUUAAAAACAGCCUGAUGGCCUGGUGUUGGGCCUGAUCACCCCAAAAUUUCAGGCACCCAACGUGGGGCUAUGAAGACCAUGGUAAAGAAAUGCUAGAGUAUAUGGAAAUGAAGGACAUAUCAUCAAAGGACACCCGAGGAUGGCUGAAAGAAGCUUGGUGGGUAAGCUGGGCACUCUGAAGAACCAAGUGCCACUGGGUUAGAGUCUCCCCGACCAAGCUGGUCUCAGCAAGUGGUCUCCAUCAUGGGGGCUCGAAUCCAGGUUGAAGGGUCACCAGAGUGAUGGUUGGAGAACAUGGAACUAGCUGGAGGACACCUGAGUACUCUUAAAGCAAACCCCGUGGCCAAAAUCAAUAACCAAUUUGGAUACCAUCAAGACACCUGAAACCUUAUCAUGAGCCAGAUGCUGAGGAAGAGAUUCCAGGAGGAUCCUGAGGACCCCCUGGUUGCAGCCACGUCGAGGCUGACACUGAGGAGGACCCCAACUGUCAUGAGCAACACCCGUCGAACACAGCCAUCCACCUGGGGACAAAUCAAGAAGCUGUCACAGAUGAUGGAAGAAAACCUGAGGAAAGCGGGACAACCAAUCACAAUGAGUAAUUUGGUGAUCUAUCACAGUGAUGAUCACCAUUGCCAUGAGUAUUCCUUCAACAAGGGCUGACACAGAGAACAAUUAUACUUAUUGGGCAUAUUUAUCAAUCUUGUCUGGCAAUAAUGCCUAGAUGAUUUCACUCUAUGGCACAGUUACACAUGCUUUCUGAUCUCAGUAUUUACCAUAAUAAAUCUGCUCCUAUAAUUGAGGCAUACCACCCUCAAAAACCUAUUUGUAAACAAAAUAGAACCUGGCCAGAAAUAAUGAACAACUUGUUUAGUAAGAUUGCAUUGCAGAACAGGCAGAGAUGCUACGCAAUGAUUCCUAUGGGAUCAUUGAUUGGUCCCCUAAGGGGAUGUUUAGCUUAAAUUGCACCUCUCAGUCUGCAUGCCAUGGCCACACUAGUUCAGAUGGUCUGAACAAAGUGGUCAGAUGGCAGAAAUGAUAAGAAGUAUGGCAAAAGUUCCUAUUGUCUGGAACCAUGGCAGUAUAGUGUCACCUCAACCUCAAAUGAUAUGGCUCAUUGUAGGAGCUAAACAUAAGGAUUUGUGGAAACUAUUAAUAGCUCUUAAUAAGAUCAAAAUUUGGGAAAGAAUAAAAAAAGCAUCUAGAAAGACACUCUACAAACUUGUCUUUGGAUAUUACAAAAUUAAAAGAACAAAUAUUUAAAGCAUCCCAGGUACACCUGACCUUAAUGACAGAAACUGGAGUGCUUGAAGGAGCUGCAGACAGAUUAGCAGCUAGUAACCCAUUAAAAUGGAUAAAAACACUUGGAAGCUCUGUGAUUUCAAUGAUGAUUGUGCUUUUAAUCGGUAUUGUUUGUCUUUGUAUAGUGUGCAGAUGUGGAUCCUGACUCCUGUGAGAAGUAGCUCACAGUGUCAAAGCUGCCUUUGCUUUUAUCGAUUUGCAAAUCAAAUAAGGGGGACAUAUUGGGAACAGCACCCCCCCCCCCAAAAUCUGGCCAUAAACUGGUCCCAAAACUGGCCAUAAACAAAAUCUCUGCAGCACUGACAUGUUCAUGAUGGUCUUAAUGCCCACGCUGGAAGGUUGUGGGUUUACCAGAAUGAGAGCAAGGAACACCUGGCCCACCCAGGGUGGAAAACCACUUAAAGGCAUUCUUAAACCACAAACAAUAGCAUGAGUGAUCUGUGCCUUAAGGCUGUGCUACUGCUGCAGAUAACUAGCCCAACCCAUCCCUUUAUUUCAGCCCAUCCCUUCGUUUCCCAUAAGGGAUACUUUUAAUUAAUCUAAUAUGUAUAGAAAGAAUGCUAAUGACUGGCUUGCUGUUAAUAAAUAACGUGGGUAAAUCUCUGUUGGAGGCUCUCAGCUCUGAAG